rnacentral:misc_RNA from 1 species
UACGGAGGGUGCGAGCGUUAAUCGGAAUUACUGGGCGUAAAGCGCGCGUAGGCGGCCUAGUAAGCCGGUUGUGAAAGCCCCGGGCUCAACCUGGGAAUGGCAUCCGGAACUGUUUGGCUAGAGUGCAGAAGAGGAAGGUAGAAUUCCCGGUGUAGCGGUGAAAUUCGUAGAUAUUCGGAGGAACACCAGUGGCGAAGGCGGCCUUCUGGACUGACACUGACACUGAGGUGCGAAAGCGUGGGUAGCAAACAGG